rnacentral:lncRNA from 1 species
GCUGUCUUACGGCCCUUGGGCCAUCACUACUGGCUGCCGUGCUGCUUCUUGUUGCUGCUGCUUAGAUCUCCCAUAUCUCUGCAGCAUUCUCAGAUCUCUCAGUGUGAUGCUUGUGCUUGAGUGACCCCCCAAAAACCCUCCCCAAGGACCACAAGUUCGCAAUUUUUAAUGUAGGUGUGAUAUCUUCCCACUUAGUUUUCUUCCAGUGGAAGGGAGUUGUGUACGCUGUACAAGACCAUAGACGUAAUAGUUAGUGAGCGACUGUGUUCUUGUUGGUGAGUUGUUUCUCUGUGUGGAUCUUUGGCUACAAUUUUCCAAGUCCCCCGCAGUGCCAGGGGGGACUCAGAUCAAUCAAUCAAACUAUGGCCGAGCUUUUGAGAUAGAUGCCGCUGCAGACAGCUAGCUAUAAGAUAUACAUCAAAG